rnacentral:rRNA from 1 species
UUAACGGUAAGUUUACUUACCGCUUAGCAUCGAGUGUUAAAUAUGCUAGUCCUUUCAUGAUUAUGUGAUAGGUGGUGCAUGGCCGUUCUUAGUUCGUGGAGUGAUCUGUCUGCUUAAUUGCGUUUCACUAAGGGCCCAUAAAUUCAAGGUAUGUUAGCUCUCGUCGCUCUAUGGACCCCUUAACUCCAAUAUUCUUAUUGUGUUAAGCGCGUGUCUUUAUUUUAAGAGUUUUAAGACACUGCGCAUG